CAGUGGGGAAUAUUGCGCAAUGGGGGAAACCCUGACGCAGCAACGCCGCGUGAGUGAUGAAGGUCUUCGGAUUGUAAAACUCUGUCUUCAGGGACGAUAAUGACGGUACCUGAGGAGGAAGCCACGGCUAACUACGUGCCAGCAGCCGCGGUAAUACGUAGGUGGCAAGCGUUGUCCGGAUUUACUGGGCGUAAAGAGUAUGUAGGCGGAUAUUUAAGUCAGAUGUGAAAUUCCCGGGCUUAACCUGGGAGCUGCAUUUGAUACUGGAUAUCUAGAGUGCAGGAGAGGAAAGUGGAAUUCCUAGUGUAGCGGUGAAAUGCGUAGAGAUUAGGAAGAACACCAGUAGCGAAGGCGACUUUCUGGACUGUAACUGACGCUGAGAUACGAAAGCGUGGGGAGCAAACA
rnacentral:rRNA from 1 species